AAAGAAGAAAGGCAUCGAUUUCUUAAAAAUAAGAGUACCUUGUUUGCCCAAUAAGAAGACUUUCUUCCUAACUCUUCGGAUUACCGGGGAAUACUUUCUCAGCCGUAGAGCUGACAAUAGGGUGGAACGAUUCUUCAUAGUAAGAAUAUAUUAUAUUAUACCGGCUGUACCUAUUAUAUGUCGGAUAGGCGCCCGCCCCCAAGCCAGUGUCCAUCUUCAUGAAAUGACAUUGGUAGACGGGUUGGGACCAGCCUUCUAUCCCGGUGAACAAUGUUCCCCCAGCAUCUCAAGUGAUUAGACAGUGACCGGCUUCGCG
rnacentral:lncRNA from 1 species